rnacentral:rRNA from 1 species
GAUGAACGCUGGCGGCGUGCCUAACACAUGCAAGUCGAGCGAUUCUCUUCGGAGAAGAGCGGCGGACGGGUGAGUAACGCGUGGGUAACCUGCCCUGUACACACGGAUAACAUACCGAAAGGUAUGCUAAUACGAGAUGAUAUGCUUUUAUCGCAUGGUAGAAGUAUCAAAGCUCCGGCGGUACAGGAUGGACCCGCGUCUGAUUAGCUAGUUGGUAAGGUAACGGCUUACCAAGGCGACGAUCAGUAGCCGACCUGAGAGGGUGAUCGGCCACAUUGGAGCUGAGACACGGUCCAAACUCCUACGGGAGGCAGCAGUGGGGAAUAUUGCACAACGGGCGAAAGCCUGAUGCAGCAACGCCGCGUGAGCGAUGAAGGCCUUCGGGUCGUAAAGCUCUGUCCUCAAGGAAGAUAAUGACGGUACUUGAGGAGGAAGCCCCGGCUAACUACGUGCCAGCAGCCGCCGUAA